GAUGAACGCUGGCGGCGUGCCUAAUACAUGCAAGUCGAGCGAACAGACGAGUAGCUUGCUCCUCUGACGUUAGCGGCGGACGGGUGAGUAACACGUGGAUAACCUACCUAUAAGACUGGGAUAACUUCGGGAAACCGGAGCUAAUACCGGAUAAUAUAUUGAACCGCAUGGUUCAAUAGUUAAAGACGGUUUUGCUGUCACUUAUAGAUGUAUCCGCGCCGCAUUAGCUAGUUGGUAAGGUAACGGCUUACCAAGGCGACGAUGCGUAGCCGACCUGAGAGGGGGAAAGGACAAACUGGAACUGAGACACGGUCCAGACUCCUACGGGAGGCAGCAGUAGGGAAACUUCCGCAAUGGGAGAAAGCCAGACGUAGCAAAGCCGCGUGAGUGAUGAAGGUAUUCGGAUCGUAAAACUAUGUUAUUAGGGAAGAACAAAUGUGUAAGUAACUAUGCACGUCUUGACGGUACCUAAUCAGAAAGCCACGGCUAACUACGUG
rnacentral:rRNA from 1 species